rnacentral:lncRNA from 1 species
AACAAUAAAAUAGUAAUAAAACAUUUACUAAGAACAAAAGGACAGAAGCAGACUUCUUAGACCUUUGUUUUAAGUGACUAGAAUUGAUUUUUAGCAUAUUUAUGAUUAUUUCCUAGAUAGAAAUAUUUAAAGUGAAUUCUGGAGCUCAAAUAAUGACAAUUUCAAACCAUUUUAUCACAAUUAGCUUAUCUAUAAUUUUUGAAAAAUCAGCCAUCUGUAAAGGUAUAAUAGACAUUGUUUAUAGUGAUCAAAUUAGCUCAGAUUGACCCUAAAUAGAAAUAACUAUAUCUCUAAUUUCAUAAAUUUGAAAUAUAAGGAUGAGCCUUUAAACAUUUCCAUUUUAGGAUUUUUUAUUUUGUUUUAAAUAGUACUUAGUAGUCCGCAACAAUUAAAGCCUUUGCACUAAUUUUACAUACAGGGCUGGGAGUGUAGCUCAGUAGUAGAGCACUUAACUUGCCUACCACAUAAGAGGACCUGAGUUCAAUUUUUUAAAAUUUAGAAUUGAUUUUUUUUUGGUGCCAUGGAUUGAACUCAGGACCUUGUGCUUAUGAGGCAGGUGGCGGCACCACUGAGCUAAAUCCCCAGCCCUAGAAGUGAUUCUUAAAUGUUAGGAAAAUCCUUGUUUUUUUUUUGUACUGGGGAUCAAACUCAGGACCUUAGGCUUGCAAAACAGGCACCAGAACCACUGAGCUAAAUCCCCGGCCUGGAAAAUUCAUUUUUAAAGUAAAUGUUACUAUAUGGUUAAGCUUCAAAAGUUUUGAAUUGAAGCAGAAUUUGGUUUUGUGAUAAUCAGUUUUAUAAAAUUAAAUGACAUAGCUCAUUGCAGUGAUAUAUCAAUAGAGAUUUGAAGUCUUGUAGAACUGAUUAAAUAAAGUUGGCCACACAUAUGAGCCAAGCGUGCUCUAGCAUUUGAGAGGCUGAGGAAGGAGGAUCACGAGUUACAGGCCAGCCUGGGUUACACAGAGAGUUCAAGGCCAAUCUGAGCUACAUAGUGAGACCCAGUCUCCAAAACAAAACAGCUAGGCAUGGUGGUGCACACCUGGCCUGUAAACCUGACUUUCUGGGAGGAUGAGGCAGGAGUCUCAAAAUUUCAAGUCUCACCUGGGUAACUUAGCAAAACCUAUUUCGAAAUAAAAGGGCAAGGGAUGUAGCUCAAUGCUAAGGCCUUGGGUUCAAUUCCUCAUAUUAAAAUAAACAUGAUGUCAAGUGCUGUGGGAAGGUGACAUGAUAUACUUUAUAACAAUCUAGGGUUGGGGAUUUAGCUCAGCGGUUCUGCCGCCUGCCUCACAAGCACAAGGUCCCGAGUUCGAUCCCUGGUACCAAAAAAAAAAAAAAAAUCUAAGUGAUCUUAAAGCAGCCAAUAAAUUUCAGAGGAUAAUACUUUUUGAAUCAAAGUUUAAACAUUUCUUUUUGCUUUUCAUCAAGGUCUGGUUUAAAGUAGGAUUUUAAAAUAAUUCUCAGUAUAUGAUUUUCUUGUGAUAAACAAAAAUUAAUGCAGAUCAAAGACCAGUACCCUUAACCAAAAUAAGCAAACAAAAAACUUUAGCAAUUUUAUUAUCACAUAUCUAAUUUAAAAUGCACUGAAAUUAAUACUAUUCCAUAUACUCGUUUACUAACAAAACAACUUUGGGUUUCUAAUGCUGCCAAAUGCCUUUAUAAACAUGGGGUGAGGGGGUAAAUUCAUAGGUAUUUAUUUGAAACAAAGGAGCAUUUGGAAUUUUAAGAAUGUCAGAAACCAACUGCUUCCUAGAAGGAAAUGUAAAUGGAAGUGGCCAGCCUUCAUAGGUCUUAAUGGCUCUUUCAUAUUCUGCAUACUGUUAAAUAUAUUCUCAAAAUAUAUUAAAAGACACAGUUUGCAAAUUAAAGAAAUAAAACUAAUAAUUGAACGUAAACAUUUGAUUCAGUUUGUCAGUCAAAAGCCACAACAACAAAAAUCUAGAUAGUAUGGUCUUUGCUUUGGAUAUAAUUUACUCUUAUACCCCAUGUCAGUGUGAUCAUUAAGGAAAUGUAUUAAUAACUUAAAAUUACCUAUCCCGUAAGAUCAGUAAAAUUCAACAUGUCUAAUUGCAUUAUAGUAUAUGAAUCACAGAUGGUUCUUAUUUAUUCUUGUAUCUAAUUCUAGACCAGUGGUGGUGAACCAAUGGCACUCAUGUUACUGUGUUUUUAAGACAAAAGAUGUUAAUGUAGAGUUGUUUUUUCUAAACUAAAACCUCAGUAUUCAGGUUUAAUUCCAGUGUCAGGAAUUUGUGAUAAAUAAGUGGGUUUUGGGUUGCUGUUUGGCACUCAGUCUCUAAAAGGUUCGCCAUCACUGUUCUAGACUCACUGUGUUUUUGUCAAGUAUAUUAUGCUUUGUUUUGGAAAAUCCUUUAGAUCUUUUCUUUCAUGAUAUUUAUAUCCUGCCACUUAAUUUUAUUACCUUUGUUUCCUUUUUAACACUGUUACUGUUAAGAAUUUUUAGCUCUUAAUUCACAUUUGAUAAAUUUAUGUAUGUAAUGUCUCCAAAAUUCAAUAGUGGCACAGAGUAGAUUCUUCAUAUUCUGACCUUAGAAUUUAAAAAGGUUUUAAAUAGUUCUGGGAUACUUAUUUGUGAACCAAAAAAGUCAGUUUUGUGAAUGUUGCCAUCAAAUAACCAACAUCCCUCUUUUUUAACUCAGAUAAACAGUAUGAGAAAAUAACAAAUGUCAGAAAUGCAAAAUUGUUAAGAUUAGACACUAUCAAUUUGCUAAUCUCUGAUUAUAUGUAUACAUGUAUUGUCAUCAUCCCUGUUUUUAGCUCCCUAAAUUUUUGUGUUGCUGAGAACUUUAGUUAAAAUACUCUUAAAGUCAUAUGAACUCACUUAGAAGUAAAAGUUAGAAAUGGAAAUCUAAGUAAAGAAAGUUUUAAAAGUGGUACAUUUUCCCCAUUAAGUCAACUUUUAUGGCUUAAUCUUGGAAGGAGACUCACAUUAAAAGUGGUUAUCUUUUAUAUUUGGUGGGAAGAAGCCAUUGUUAUUUACUACUACUAUAUAUAGAAGCAAUUGUUUGAUGAAAUUACUGUUUAGUAUUCAUAGAAUGUAUCGUAUGCAGGCCAUUUUUUCUUUUCUCCAACCACUGUUAAAAUAGUUUAUGUACUUAGUAACUCCAGUCAUGACUGUAAAUUAACUUUUAACAGUUUAGUUCCUGUUAGCUACUUACUCCUUUUUUUCUUCUUUUUGAGAGAACUCUAUAUUUGAUUUCAGUUUGUUUUCAGAGAAAUAAGAAAAUGGUAAUCAAAUGUGAUGUGUCUAUAAAAAUAAGAGUUUUACAUGUGAUCUAUCAUACUUUCAAUGAACAGACUUGAGAACAGUUUGUGAUGUUAAAGGUGGUAAUGUUCUAAUAUAGUUUUUGGCAUACAAUUAUGGCUCACAAAUAUAUCUAGAAGAAUGUUGACAUAUGGCAGUAUCAAAGUAUAUAAAACAUUUCCAAUGUAUGUAAGUUGUAUCUUCACACUAAUGAACAAAUAGCAGUUGAUAAGUGCAAUUUCACUUCUGGAUGGCAGUGCACAUUGUCAAGAAGUCAUGUAAUUAUAAUAAAUACAUAUAUCUACAAG